AUUGAACGCUGGCGGCAUGCUUUACACAUGCAAGUCGAACGGUAACAGGCCGCAAGGUGCUGACGAGUGGCGAACGGGUGAGUAAUGCAUCGGAACGUGCCCAGUCGUGGGGGAUAACGCAGCGAAAGCUGCGCUAAUACCGCAUACGAUCUAUGGAUGAAAGCGGGGGACCGUAAGGCCUCGCGCGAUUGGAGCGGCCGAUGUCAGAUUAGGUAGUUGGUGGGGUAAAGGCUCACCAAGCCAACGAUCUGUAGCUGGUCUGAGAGGACGACCAGCCACACUGGGACUGAGACACGGCCCAGACUCCUACGGGAGGCAGCAGUGGGGAAUUUUGGACAAUGGGCGCAAGCCUGAUCCAGCAAUGCCGCGUGCAGGAAGAAGGCCUUCGGGUUGUAAACUGCUUUUGUACGGAACGAAAAGGUUUGGGCUAAUAAGCUGAGCUCAUGACGGUACCGUAAGAAUAAGCACCGGCUAACUACGUGCCAGCAGCCGCAGUAACAC
rnacentral:rRNA from 1 species